UUGCUGAAAGGAACUGAAGAAAACUCGGCAGCUGCUAUGAAAUAUAUCCUGAAACUUUGCAAGGAUUUUCUAAACAUAUAUAAAGAGACCAAAAAUGCGAUGUUAUCCUUUAUAAAAGUACGAUAGGCGAGCAAAUGAUCCCACAUACUGGUCUGAGUUUACAUGCCCGAUGUUUGGCGAGCAGGACACAAGUCUAAAACAAACAGGAGGGAUUCAGAGACCCAUGCUGCGAUGGGUUUUGAGCGAGCCUCUUCUCUAUUCUGCGUCUCGCUUUUCCUUCUCUUCUGUCCAUGGUUUUGAGCCUGCCUCUGCGUCUGAUGCUGAGUUUGGCUUGGCAAGGCAAAGAAGAGGUUGGGAAUCGAACUCUUAAUUUUAUCAUGAUCUAGACAAAACGAAUGCGAGAAUCAAACCCUUAACUUUAUACUGAUGUCAACCAAGAGAAGACCGAGAGGCGAACUCUUAAUUUGGUCACAUCUUUGAUGUGAAUCUAUCCUUCGACGACUAAUGUCAACUAAGAGGAGCGAGAAACGAGCUCUUAACCUAGUCACAUCUUUGAUGUAAAUCUAUCCUUCCACAAUAUUCAAUGACAACAAAUGCAAUAUGAAUGUGCAUUUGGGGGUGUAAGGUAAAGAUGAAUUGAAUGAAGUCAGUGGGUAUGUAGGUUUGUUUGUCCACAAGUUGUGUGUCCAGUUCAAACCCAUUUGUCCUUCCUAUAUAAUUAUAUCUAUAGCUUUAGUAUA